UGGGGUAUAGCUCAGUGGUAGAGCACAUGUUUAGCAUGCACAAGGUCCUGGGUUCACUCUCCAGUACCUUCA
rnacentral:tRNA from 1 species